CAUAGCGGGGAAAAGAACCCACCAGGGAUUGCCCUAGUAACGGCGAGUGAAGCGGCAACAGCUCAAAUUUGAAAUCUGGCUCCUUUGGGGUCCGAGUUGUAAUUUGCAGAGGGAGCUUUUGGCGUCGGUCGUGGUCUAAGUUCCUUGGAACAGGACGUCACAGAGGGUGAGAAUCCCGUACGUGGCCGCCGGCCUUCGCCUUGUAAAGCCCCUUCGACGAGUCGAGUUGUUUGGGAAUGCAGCUCUAAAUGGGAGGUAAAUUUCUUCUAAAGCUAAAUACCCGCCAGAGACCGAUAGCGCACAAGUAGAGUGAUCGAAAGAUGAAAAGCACUUUGGAAAGAGAGUGAAAAAGCACGUGAAAUUGUUGAAAGGGAAGCGCUUGCGGCCAGACGUGCCCGCGGUUGAUCAUCCAGGCUCCAGCCUGGUGCACUCCUCCGCGGGCAGGCCAGCAUCAGUUCGGGCGGUCGGAUAAAGGCCUCUAUCACGUACCACCCCUCGGGGUGGCCUUAUAGGGGAGGCGCAACACGGCCAGCCCGGACUGAGGUUCCGCGCAUCUGCUAGGAUGCUGGCGUAAUGGCAGCAAGCGGCCCGUCUUGAAACACGGACCAAGGAGUCUAACAUCUAUGCGAGUGUUUGGGUGUCAAGCCCGAGCGCGCAAUGAAAGUGAACGGAGGUGGGAACCCUUACCGGUGCACCAUCGACCGAUCCUGAUGUCUUCGGAUGGAUUUGAGUAAGAGCAUAGCUGUUGGGACCCGAAAGAUGGUGAACUAUGCCUGAAUAGGGUGAAGCCAGAGGAAACUCUGGUGGAGGCUCGCAGCGGUUCUGACGUGCAAAUCGAUCGUCAAAUUUGGGCAUAGGGGCGAAAG
rnacentral:rRNA from 1 species